rnacentral:pre_miRNA from 1 species
AAAAAAGCAAACCCUGGAUUUCCGUGUCCAACUUUGACUGUCCGUCUUAUAUGAAUUUUUUUUAUAAUUCAUAUUUUCAUUGUUGUUAGAUGAUAAAAUAUGAUUAAUAUUUUAUGCGUGACUUGUCUUUUUA